rnacentral:rRNA from 1 species
AAUCAACGCUGGCGGCGUGCCUAACACAUGCAAGUCGAACGCGAAAGUCCCGCAAGGGAUAAGUAGAGUGGCAAACGGGUGAGUAACACGUGGGUGACCUGCCUUCGAGUGGGGGAUAACGUCCCGAAAGGGACGCUAAUACCGCAUGAUAUCCCGCCUUUUAACAGGUGGAGCUCAAAGCUGGGGAUCGCAAGACCUAGCGCUCGGAGAGGGGCCCGCGCCCGAUUAGCUAGNGGUGGGGUAACGGCUCACCAAGGCAACGAUCGGUAGCCGGCCUGAGAGGGCGGACGGCCACACUGGGACUGAGACACGGCCCAGACUCCUACGGGAGGCAGCAGUAAGGAAUAUUGCGCAAUGGGCGUAAGCCUGACGCAGCGACGCCGCGUGGGGGAUGAAGGCC